AACACUGUUAACCUGCGGUACCUGCGGAAGGAUCAUUACCGAGUUUACAACUCCCAAACCCCUGUGAACAUACCUAUACGUUGCCUCGGCGGAUCAGCCCGCGCCCUGUAAAAAGGGACGGCCCGCCCGAGGACCCUAAACUCUGUUUUUAGUGGAACUUCUGAGUAAAACAAACAAAUAAAUCAAAACUUUCAACAACGGAUCU
rnacentral:misc_RNA from 1 species